rnacentral:pre_miRNA from 1 species
AAACUACUCCCUCCAUUCGGAUUUACUUGUCACAAAAAUGGAUGUAUCUACAACUAAAAUACAUCUAGAUACAUUCAUUUCUUUGACAAGUAAUUCCGAACGGAGGGAGUACAAU